CUUUAAUUAUGUUGCAAUAAUAUUAAACAUAGACAAGAAAACCGUGUCUCUGCGUAAGGCAAGUGAACAUAACCCUUGGAUUAGAGAAAACCCUGUCUUAGACAGGCAGACGUGUAAACUCCUUAUGUUUGAAGGUUUUCUUCAAAGAUGUUCUUGAAAGGACAAAGACGAAUUCGUAACUGCCUUGGAAAGUGCAAGGUAUGUAUAUAUCUAUAGGUAUCUCUGCAAUCGUUGUUCUAAGUUGUAUUUGUUCUCAAUGGACGGCACGUCAUAAUGAGAUGCCCUUCUUUAGUUGCAAAUCAAUGGAUGUACCAACUGCUCUCCCCGAAACCUUCAUACGCCGUCCAGCACCACCGCCACCAGAUCUCCUCGAGGACUGAAUUCGUGUAUUUCCGCGUGAAGUUAGACAUCUUGACCGCAGAAUUAUUUGCUGUAUACCUCUUUGUUUUGACCUGAGGAUAGUACCCGUAGCUACAUGUAUAUUAUCCUUUCUAGCUGGGCAGAUUACUGAAACAAUACUGCAUUUGGUGAUGCAAGCAUAAAAUAUGGCAUGUCGUCUAGGCCUACUUUUUCUAAAAAGCCCAAUUCAAAAUGGCGGCCAUUUUUCAAGAUGGCCGCCACAGGAUGUUGAGCUUUUACAUUAACAUACGUAUACCGAGUCUUUUUUUUUGUCAAUUUUCGAGGAAAAUAUAUCCUGUAAUAUGUCUUGAGUGUCGCUGUCGGAAAAGCUACGCCUCAGUCCGCCGUCAGUUCCUAACGUCGCAGGCGAGACAAAAACUGUCCUUCAACACUCUAAAUGUGUUAUUUGACUAUAACAUUAAACUUAAUCGUCAGUGUAAAUGGCAAAUUAGUACUUUAUAUGAAAUGGCGGCCAUCUUGAAAAAAAAACGCCAUAAUGAAUUUUGAAAUCAGUCUUUUGUGCAUCAUUCUCAUCCAUCUGAGGUUCGUCAAAAUCCCGAUACGAAUCCAGGGAACCAUGGUACCCCUCUGGUAUGCGAGAAUGUUGUGUAUCAAAAAUGGGUUUUACACACUUAAAAGAUAUCAUUUCCUCAAAUUUGACAAAAAAAAACCCCACUCGGUAUAGGUCUGUUAAAGUCAAAAUUCAACUUCCUGUGGCAGCCAUCUUGAAAAAUGGCCGCAAUUUUGAAUUUUCAAGUGGCUAACGGGCUUUUUGGAAAAAGUAGGCUUAGACGAGUACACUUGCUAAAUUUCAUGCUUGCAUCACCAAAUGCAGUAUUUUCCCAAAUAAAUGACUUAAUCUGCCUAGCUAUUCAGAUAUAGCAAUGACUCGUGAAUAAGAUAUGCAUUGUGAAAUAAGUAUGAAUAGUACAUUCAAUAUGUAUUCUGAAUUCAGCAUGUAUUCUGCAUUCAAUAUAAAUUCUGAUUUAGAUAUAUACUACAAAUUAAAGAUGAAUGCUGAUUUAAAAGCUUCCAUAGAAGCUGUAAUGACAAAAAUACAACUAAAAUCUGGAUGAAGCUGACGCAGAACAAAUACUUUAUUUGUUACAAAUGUAUUGUUUAUUUUUAUUUUUUGUUUGCUUGUUUGUUGUGUGUGUGUUGGUGUGCGUACCUGUGUGUGUGUUGUUGUUGUUGUUUCUUUUUUUUUUUUUGGCUACUAGGAUUUAAGUCGAUAGUGACAAUUCAAUUCAUGCCAUGAAUAUAGUUUAUUUACAAAGGAAGUUGUGACCUUUGUGAUAUUUACAAAAGGAUCUAUAAACUUCCAAAAAAGACUCGGCUAAAAAUCGAGAACAUGACACUGAACAAUUCUGUUAAUAUUUAUUUCAGUAGUGAUACUAUUCAUAAUUCUUACAUGCAUGAUAUGGCGUACAUGGGUAGCAUAAAAUCUAGCGAA
rnacentral:lncRNA from 1 species